CAUAUCAAUAAGCGGAGGAAAAGAAACCAACAGGGAUUGCCCUAGUAACGGCGAGUGAAGCGGCAACAGCUCAAAUUUGAAAGCUGGCUCCGGCCCGCAUUGUAAUUUGCAGAGGAUGCUUCUGGUGAGGUGCCUUCCGAGUUCCCUGGAACGGGACGCCAUAGAGGGUGAGAGCCCCGUAUGGAUGGACACCAAACCUGUGUGAAGCUCCUUCAACGAGUCGAGUAGUUUGGGAAUGCUGCUCUAAAUGGGAGGUAAAUCUCUUCUAAAGCUAAAUACCGGCCAGAGACCGAUAGCGCACAAGUAGAGUGAUCGAAAGAUGAAAAGCACCUUGAAAAGGGGGUUAAACAGUACGUGAAAUUGUUGAAAGGGAAGCGCUUGUGACCAGACUUGCGCCGGGCAGCUCAUCAGGGGUUCUCCCCUGUGCACUCUGCCCGGCUCAGGCCAGCAUCGGUUCUCGUGGGAGGAUAAGAACGGUAGGAACGUGGCCCCCUUCCGGGGGGGUGUUAUAGCCUACCGUACGAUACUCCCGUGGGGACCGAGGUUCGCGCUCCGCAAGGAUGCUGGCGUAAUGGUCAUCAGCGACCCGUCUUG
rnacentral:rRNA from 1 species